GUAGUCGUGGCCAAGUGGUUAAGGCGAAGGACUUGAAAUCUAUUGGGGUCUCCCCACGCAGGUUCAAAUCCUGCCAACUACG